rnacentral:tRNA from 2 species
GGAGAGAUGUCCGAGUUGGCUGAAGGAGCACGAUUGGAAGUCGUGUGUACGUAACUGUACCGUGGGUUCGAAUCCCACUCUCUCCG